rnacentral:rRNA from 1 species
AGUAACACGUGGGUGAUCUGCCUUGCACUUCGGGAUAAGCUUGGGAAACUGGGUCUAAUACCGGAUAGGACAGCUGUUUAGUGUCAGUUGUGGAAAGUUUUUUCGGUGCAAGAUGAGCUCGCGGCCUAUCAGCUUGUUGGUGGGGUAAUGGCCUACCAAGGCGUCGACGGGUAGCCGGCCUGAAGGGUGUACGGCCACAUUGGGACUGAGAUACGGCCCAGACUCCUACGGGAGGCAGCAGUGGGGAAUAUUGCACAAUGGGCGGAAGCCUGAUGCAGCGACGCCGCGUGGGGGCAUGAAGGCCUUCGGGUUGUAAACUCCUUUCGACAGGGACGAAGCGUAAGUGACGGUACCUGUAUAAGAAGCACCGGCUAACUACGUGCCAGCAGCCGCGGUAAUACGUAGGGUGCGAGCGUUGUCCGGAAUUACUGGGCGUAAAGAGCUCGUAGGUGGUUUGUCGCGUCGUCUGUGAAAUUCCGGGGCUUAACUCCGGGCGUGCAGGCGAUACGGGCUGACUUGAGUGCUGUAGGGGAGACUGGAAUUCUUGGUGUACGGUGAAAUGCGCAGAUAUCAGGAGGAACACCGAUGGCGAAGGCAGGUCUCUGGGCAGUAACUGACGCUGAGGAGCGAAAGCAUGGGUAGCGAACAGGAUUAGAUGCCCUGGUAGUCCAUGCCGUAAACGGUGGGCGCUAGGUGUAGGGGGCUUCCACGUCUUCUGUGCCG